UAGGGAAUCUUCGGCAAUGGACGAAAGUCUGACCGAGCAACGCCGCGUGAGUGAAGAAGGUUUUCGGAUCGUAAAACUCUGUUGGUAGAGAAGAACGUUGGUGAGAGUGGAAAGCUCAUCAAGUGACGGUAACUACCCAGAAAGGGACGGCUAACUACGUGCCAGCAGCCGCGGUAAUACGUAGGUCCCGAGCGUUGUCCGGAUUUAUUGGGCGUAAAGCGAGCGCAGGUGGUUUAUUAAGUCUGGUGUAAAAGGCAGUGGCUCAACCAUUGUAUGCAUUGGAAACUUGUAGACUUGAGUGCAGGAGAGGAGAGUGGAAUUCCAUGUGUAGCGGUGAAAUGCGUAGAUAUAUGGAGGAACACCGGUGGCAAAAGCGGCUCUCUGGCCUGUAACUGACACUGAGGCUCGAAAGCGUGGGGAGCAAACA
rnacentral:rRNA from 1 species